CUCCUGGGCGCAGCCUGAUGCAGCCAUGCCGCGUGAGUGAUGAAGGCCUUCGGGUUGUAAAGCUCUUUUGUUGGGAAAGAAAAGCACCCGGUUAAUCCCCGAUUGUCAGGACAGUUCCCAAAGAAUAGCCCCGCGCUUACUUUAUGCCAGCAGCCGCGGUAAUGUCC
rnacentral:rRNA from 1 species